rnacentral:lncRNA from 1 species
AUCAAAGCAAUGGCAGAAGUGAAGCUACACGGAUUCUGGGCCAGUCCUUUUAGUCAUAGAGUGAUUUGGGCAUUGAAAAUCAAAGGUGUAGAAUAUGAAUACAUAGAGGAAGACCUUUCUAACAAGAGUGAACUGCUGUUGAAGUACAAUCCUGUUUACAAGAAGAUCCCUGUCCUUGUCCAUGGCGGCAAGCCGAUUGCUGAGUCCCUCGUCAUCCUUGAAUACAUCGAAGAAACCUGGCCGGAGAAUCCAUUGCUCCCAAGUGAUCCUUAUGAGAGAGCCAUGGCUCGAUUUUGGAUUCAAUUCGGAGUAGACAAGGUGAUUUUCAUUCUUUCACUAUCUCCAUUGAGGCGUUGACCUAUCAUUCUUUUCUUUAAUGUUCUUGUUAACAAUUAUCAAACUUUACAAUGAUCGUAGGGUCCGGUUUUCCGUGCAUUUUUUCUAUCAACCGGUGGAGAGGAGCAAGAGAAAGCAGCAAAGGAAUUCUCGGAAAUGCUGAAAAUUAUAGAAGAGAAAGCUCUUGGGGACAAGAAGUUUUUUGGUGGUGAUACCAUUAAUUUAGUGGACAUCUCCUAUGCAACGCUGGCCUAUUGGUUCAAGAAUGUGGAAGAAGUAAUUGGCGUUAAGGUUCUGGAACCAAACACCUUACCCCGUCUGUAUCAAUGGGCUCAAAAUUUCAAGGAAGUUCCUGUCAUCAAAGAAAACAUUCCUGAUAAUGAUAAAAUGUUGGCCUAUACAAGACUAAUCAGGGAGAAGAUUCUUGCUGCACAGCUCAACAAAUAGCAUAAAAAAGCGUCUUACUGGCUACCCUUUCUGGAAAAUUGAUUUUACUAUGCUUGGCAGCUUGUAAUGGUUAUCAUAAGCUUAUAUAUGUGUGUGUAAUCUGCUUUGUUAUGUUCUAUUGUAUUAAUUAAGAAUCAAAUAAUAGAAUUCUAGCGUAAAAAAGCAGAACAACUUUUGGUUUUGUGCUUCUAAGGGUCGGAUCUUUGUGUUUUGAUGUCUGACCUUUGUUCAGGUUUUCUUUGGCAGAAAGGGCCUGAUCUGAGAUUUUUCUGUGCUCUGUGUCAUUUGCUUUUGAGUUAGGACAGUGCUUAUUGGUUUUUUUUUUUUUAAAGGCGGUUUUAUUCUUGCAUCACUGUUUAUGCCACAACAAGUCUAAAGCAUGGUUGCGGAAGACUUUAGUGGCAUAGAGCGUCUGAUGUGGGUAAAAGUGCUGUACAAUUUCAAAAGACGCCUAUGUUCCAUAGCGCCACUGCUAAACAUAAUCCUAACCAGCAGCAGGAACGCAUACACAGGCCAUCACUAACCUCAAAUCAUUCAAAAACCACAGAACACAGAUCGGGCGAAGCAAACUUCUAGCGCGAAGAAGGUGUCCGCAAUGGGCAUCGUGGACGCAGCAAACCAGGAGCCUUCAAAGAGCCUCAACAUCAGCAUCGUCAGGAAUUCAGCACGGCAUCAGCAGCAUUUGAAGUGAUUGACAAAAAUGUGGAUCCUUAGCAUAGGCCUCCUGUCAAUCCACAACCUCAAAACAUCCCACAAACCACCCCCUGGGAGAAACACCUGAACCCACCUUCACACUCACCGUCCCCUUCCAAUUCACUCAACCUGCUUGACACAAUACACAACACCAAUCGCUCAAAAGUUCAUGACAGUGCUUUAUUGGUUUGUUUUUUGAAAGGUGAAAUUUUAUUGAGCCAGCCUCCAACCUGCCACUUCAAGUCUUUAGUCUUAAUUGCUUAAAGACUCUUGAUGGCAUAAUAGUUGCCCUGGCUGGAUAAAACCUGUACACUUGUACCAAAAAGAAUCUGCCCAAAUAGAAACUGGCAGCACAGCACCAUGAACAAGAAGAGGUGCAAGAAAGGAAAAUCGUUCUAAUUCUACCUGAUUGGAAACAGCAAUACCCCCAACCCAACGAACAAGAAAAAAACUCCCACAGCGAGGAUCCCCUCAUGUGAAGUCAACCCUGCUCGCCCCACCAGAAGUUACACAGUAAAAGAAUCCUUUAGGAAACAUGGGAGAAGACCAUUCAAAAAUCUGAGUAAGGGACAAGACCUGGCAAUUCGCAGAACAGAACAGAACAAAAACCCUAGGGGAUCUCAUCAUCAACAAAAACCCUUCCUGGCGGCAAUAACCACAGUAUCUUAGACGAGCCAGCCCAGACAGCUUCGGAUUCAUCACAGGCUCAGCGCAAGAGCUUCCGGAACACAUCCCCACUCCCCGCCAUACCAACACAUCCUUUCACAUAAGAAACACGAGCAUCCAGCCGAACAGAGAAGUCAGAAGCAGCACCAAAAAGGAUCCCAAAACACCUGAACCCCCUAUCCCUGAGAUUCCUUCAAAUAACAUAGGAGGAGCCCAAACAGGGAGCCAUGAACUCACAGAAAAAGCCACCAUAUCAAGCAAAGCCAAAAAACAAGAAACAUGACAAAAACAUUACACUCCCAGCAAAGAACUGGUUGGCAAAAACAGAAAGGAACAAAGAAUGACACACUCACAGGAAAGAAAUCAUUCAUUAGAAAGGACAUUUUUUUCUUUUCUCUUUAUUAUUGAUCACUUGUUAAGCUGCCUUGACUUUUUGAGCUGCUAAUCUAUCGCCAGUGCCACUGGUUUCCUUGUCCGAGCCGUUCUUUGCCAUGCCAUAGGGAGUUUUUAGUAGUUACAGCCUUAAAUUAACAAUAGCAUUGAUCGGCCGCUGAAACGAAUAAAUUAACCUUUCAAAGAAUAAAACUUUUGGUUUUGUGGAAGAAUUACUUGUAAAAGUUCAUGAUGAUCACCUCAUGAUUUAUUUUGGUUAUCCUAAGGUCAAGGCUUCAUGAAUUUUUAUAUCUUUGGAUUUGCUUUUUAAAAUUACUUGAUUUUGACUAUCAAGAUUUUAUAUUUCUCAUAUUGUAAAAAGUUAUUUCACAAAAAACACAUUACCAUUUGGAGAGAGCAAUGGUAGCAAAUAAAAUGAAUAAUGCAAUGGUAUCACGCAAACAAUAAUGAAAUGAAAGUAACUCAAAAUAAGUGAUAUUAUUCAUAAGUUACUUUUGUUAUUGGGAUGUUUUGCAAACUUAUUAGUGUAGAUUUGGAAAUAGUUAAAGAGAAUUUCCUCUCAACAUUUUUUUUUAAGUAUAAGUGCUUUACAAAAACAAAUGUAAUUGCACCAUUAAUUUUUUUUUUAAAAGUUGUAAUUACACCAUUAAUAAUCAUUUGUUACAAACGGUUACUAUUCUCAAUGGUUACCUAAUGAGAUUUUCGUAAUUAUUACCUAUUAUGUACAUAAAAAAUGGAAAUAGUUGAGAGGUAAUUGGAACGAAGUUUAUUAAAGCAAAUACCUUUAAUGAGGAAUUUCACUAAAAAAUCCGCAAUGAAAAACAAUGUCCCAUAUCACAACAGAGUACUCUGUAAAUUUCUUGAAGAAGAGAAGGGUCAUAUAUAAAUAUCACCUCAUCAGAAUCACUUGAAAGUAAAUUAGCUAGUAAUGCAAGUUUGUAUUACACAUUUACGUCGUGAGAAAGAACUACUUCUUCUCUCUUUAAUUUUCAUGUUGGUUUAUGCCUUUAAAUUAUUUAUCUGUUAUAGCUAUGGUUACAACAAUGCUAUGGUGGCUUGUUGUUUUAAAUUAUUCUGAAAUCAUUUUGAAAUUUUCAGCCUUCUGAAACAUUUCAAUUACAAAUGGGGCAUUCUUUAUGAUUGCAUCUUCUAUCUCACUUCCUACUUUGUAGACUAAAACUAGGGAGUGCCGGAAACGCUCCCCAUUUUUCCAAUUUCAGUUUGAGCAACGUUAUCCAAGAAAAGGGUUCUUCAAUCUUUGAAACUUGUUAUUUUAUUCAGUUUGAAAGGGGCAAACUGAUUCAUUUUUAUUUUUUAUUAAAAACAUGAUCACUUGUCAUGCGUGACGCAGGCCUAUUGUAUAUUGCAUGGAGCAAUCAUAUCCGUAACAUGGUAGUCAUUGGAUUAAGUAAUUUAUCUGAUCCAACCAUGUGACAGAUUGUAUGACUUUUACAAUAUGAAAUGCAAAAUUACCAGCUGAAAGAGUCUGAACUGAUGUCAGAAACAUUUAGAAAAGAGUAAGAGUUGCUUCCAUUGACAUUGAACUUCUUGCCCAAGCUAGAACAGCCCUUUGAUCUGUAUGAAUUGACAAUUAGAAAGUAAAAAUGAAAAUUAAAAAAAAUGGAAGUAAUUUUUAAAAUUAGAUUAAUGAUUUUUAUAUCACAGUAGAGAAUUAGUUUUAAAACAGCAAAAAUCAUAAAGAGACAAACAGGAACAUGAUGAACCUUCUUACCAGCAUGACACGGUGGCAUGCACAAUCAAAAGCGGGUUUGAUUGCCGAAUAUCAUUUGUUUAUGUCGAUAAUUAAAUAUUGAGAUUAAGGGGCAGUUCGUAUAAAAAUAAUUAAAUAAGGCAAUAGUCCAUUUGAACUUUAAAGGUAUAUUAUAAAAAGAAUAUUCUUUAUCUUCAAAGUCAAAUUAGUACUGCAUUAUCUAGUUCAUGUUUUCCUUACACUGUAAAUUAAUCAGAACCACCAACUCUUCAAAUUACGGCCUACAAUAUCACAUCAAAUUUCAACCUGACCUUGAUUUCGUCAAAUUCCUAGAUAUUUCCUCAUAGAAAACAUGUGGCCUCGGAGGUCUUCUAUUGGUAUGCAAAUGAAGGGUCACUUUCAUGGUUAUUAAUUUCUAAAUUGAAACUUAUUGUCCAAGCAUUUGAUCCAUUAUAUUGACUUUGGCCUGGCCACGACCUUUGCAUCUUGAGCUCAUCAAAGAAAUGGCAGAAGUGAAGCUACACGGAUUCUGGGCUAGUCCUUUUAGUCAUAGAGUGAUUUCGGCAUUGAAAAUCAAAGGUGUAGACUAUGAAUACAUAGAGGAAGACCUUUCUAACAAGAGCGAACUGCUGUUGAAGUACAAUCCUGUUUACAAGAAGAUCCCUGUCCUUGUCCAUGGCGGCAAGCCGAUUGCUGAGUCCCUCGUCAUCCUUGAAUACGUCGAAGAAACCUGGCCGGAGAAUCCAUUGCUCCCAAGUGAUCCUUAUGAGAGAGCCAUGGCUCGAUUUUGGAUUCAAUUCGUAGAAGACAAGGUGAUUUUGACUCUUUCAUUAUCUCCAUUGAGGCAUUGACCUAUCAUUCUUUUCUUUUAUGUUAUUGUUAACAAUUAUCAAACUUUACAAUGAUCCUAGAG